rfam:Flavobacterium psychrophilum JIP02/86 complete genome
UUAUAGCGUUUUGCGUUAGGGAUUGAAGUGGAAAUCCUUUUUGAGGCUUUUUUUGCCUCAAAAAGAUUGUAACGUAAAGCCCGACCCUUG